AUUGAACGCUGGCGGCAGGCCUAACACAUGCAAGUCGAGCGGAGGAAGGGAGCUUGCUCCUGGAUUCAGCGGCGGACGGGUGAGUAAUGCCUAGGAAUCUGCCUGGUAGUGGGGGAUAACGUCCGGAAACGGGCGCUAAUACCGCAUACGUCCUGAGGGAGAGAGUGGGGGAUCUUCGGACCUCACGCUAUCAGAUGAGCCUAGGUCGGAUUAGCUAGUUGGUGGGGUAAGGGCCUACCAAGGCGACGAUCCGUAACUGGUCUGAGAGGAUGAUCAGUCACACUGGAACUGAGACACGGUCCAGACUCCUACGGGAGGCAGCAGUGGGGAAUAUUGGACAAUGGGCGGAAGCCUGAUCCAGCCAUGCCGCGUGUGUGAAGAAGGUCUUCGGAUUGUAAAGCACUUUAAGUUGGGAGGGAGGGCAGUAAGUUAAUACCUUGCUGUUUUGACGUUACCAACAGAAUAAGCACCGGCUAACUUCGUG
rnacentral:rRNA from 1 species